CAAUACCGCGGAUAGCAAGGUGCCGUCCUUCGGGGCGGAGAAUUGGGAAGCUGGUGAAACUCCGGCACUGCCCCCGCAACGGUGACCCCGGGCAAGGCAUGGCAAUGACCACUGAGGCAGGUGCCUCGGGAAGGUGCCAGGUCCCGCCGCCUAAAGGCCCCGGGACAGUCCGGAAACCAGCCUUGCCCUGAAAAACGUC
rnacentral:ncRNA from 2 species